UGUGUGUGUGUGUGUGUGUGUGUGUGUGUGUGUGUGUGUGUUUUAAAUCUAACCUCAACGGACCCUUUUCCAUCUCGGCAAGAGUCGGUCAUAAUGAAGGGAAAUAGUUUCGGAAAUAGGUUUCGACUUUACACUUUUUGAACCAACACAGUGUACGAAUUGGUUCCAACUCAUGUGAAUAGGUUUAGAAAGCGUAGAUGAAGGAAUUAUUCCUGGAACUCAUUCCCUCUGAUAGCAACACAAAAGAUGAGAGUAACGUUAACAUUACAGCCACAUCCACCUGGUAGAUGAUGUAAACCAUUGCAACUGAUCUCCUCAUAUGGUGCCAUCGGAGCGUCCUUUCAGCCAAGGACCUGGCACCCAGCACGGAGGGAGGGUAACUUCUAGGUGACUGCAUCUGUCUUGGAGGGCAGAAGUGGAUGAACCAGGUUUAAAGAGUUAACCACCUGUCAGGGACAAUCUAGUAAACCGAACCGACCCGCAACAAAGCAGGGAUCAUUUCAUUGGUCAACACUGCACCUGGCAUUCCAUUGGUUGGGGAAUUUUGACUGGGUUAUUGCACAGAAGAGCAGAGGGGAAAUCUGGGAUCAGACGUUUCACGAGCACACAGAAGCAGCCUGGGUAUGAGGAGAAGGCCUGAAGCUGGAGCACAGGAAAUCUAUGCAAGCAACAAUAUAUCUGCAAUAUCCAUAUGUCAACCGCAAGCGAGGGCUAUUUGAGUGCGACGACGGGGAUUUGAGGGAAAGCAUUACAAAAUCUGAACGUGAAAUCAAUAAGUCGUGCGCUCAGAUUGAAAGACUACGCUCUUGAAUGAGAGGAAAAAGCUCCAUACAAAAUCAACUUCUCAACAAGAGAUAUUAGUGGUCCUUCAGUCUACAUCUAGCAUCUAAAAUUGGAAGUAGCUCUCAGUAUAACAGCACCACAAACUGCAUCCUCUGGAAUCAGCACCCCUUUAAAACUGUUUCAACAUUUUACCUUGAUGAAGGAAGGAUUUAUUGUUGGACUCGACUGCAUUAGCUUUAGUUCGGUGUACCUAAUAAACAGGCAACUGAGUGUACAUCUUGAAUCCGGCACAGACCUUGAGCUUGAAUAUUUGGCUGUCCUCCCUGCCCAAGUUGCCGUGCAUAAAAAGCUUUUCCUGUCUUUAAAUGAUCCAAGUGUGGAUGGCGGCAUUCCAAAUCUGGACCCGGGAACCAAAUCAAACUGUGUGUUCUGUUGGAGGGGCCAGGGGGGGUCAGUUUGAAAUUCAGGGACUACUUCAUACACUAUGCAUGAGGCAUCAUUUCCCAUCACACUGUUGUAUGCGAGUGUGGCAAUACCUACGCACACUGCCGCCACACACUGCACAUGCAUACGCCUGCACACACGUCAACGCGUGCACAAACUACGGCGAACACAGUCGGAGCCACUUUCAUGCACAUAUGCAGAUACACACUGUCCCCCCUUUUAUGUCUCGGGACGUGAGUGGAACAGUAAAGCUAAAUCCCCAUGUCACAUUUGCCGCUCAUCUCCAAUUCAAUGGCACCGGCUGCGAUGCCCUCGGAUGCACUUGGCAAGUGAACAGCUAACCUGCCCGCCAGCAUAUCUGCCUGCCAGCCAGCCAGCCGAGCCCCGAGGUAGUUAGCAUGCCAACUAGCCCACCCAGCAGCCACACGCUAAUGCUCCACUAACCCUGGGUUGCCCUGUGUCUUUCUCUGUGGCUUUGUGUUUGUAUGUGUGUUGACGCAAGAGGUGUUUAGUUGUCAAUCAGUGUUUCGUACACUGCACAAGUAGACGAUUCCAAAUGCAUUUCCAUCCAUCCAUUGUCUUCCAGUAACGGUUCAUACACUUGUUUCAUUUUAAUACACCACUCUGGAUUCUUUAGCACUGUGUUUUUAGAUUUUAAGCCCAGUGUAAGUACCCAGCUUAAGUUUCACUUUAUUUAACAGUCUGUCUCACUCCUCUCACUCGCGUGUCCAUAGCUGUCUUCCAGCAACAGAUCACAUGACACAUUAACAGACCGGAUCAAGUGAAAGAGCUCACUGACGAAUCAUGGCUGAGAAUCCCAAAGAAAGCAGGAGGAGAAGAAGUCAAGAAGGACAGAGCAUCAAAUCUUCUCCUUCUCCGAUCCAUCCAUCCAUUUAUUUAUUCACCAUCACUGAAUAACUCCCCCUCCUUCCCAAUCCCCGUCCUCCUUUGGGUUUUGAGUGUAUUAUCUUGACAUGUCACUCCAGAGUGUAUGAUGUGUUGAUUUAUUGUCAUGUUGCGGCGGCACACCCCUGCCGUCGCUGAAAUAAAUCCCGGUGGUCCGGUGAUGAUGAGA